UGGUCUUGAUUAUGCAACUAUUUCACCUCCAGACUACCCACUAUUAUGCACCAAGUUUGGGACAUUGCCAACACUGAAGGAGGAGGAGGGCCCCAUGGCAGAUUAACAGGGAGUAGACUGAAUCUGUGGUAGCUAAGGAGGAAGUGCUCCAGAGCUAUGCAUUACAGAGGACAGUAGAAAGAAGCCAGAACUGGAUCCUUCAAACAUGUAGACACUUCCUCUGAGAAGGGGCCCAAAUGAUAGGGAUAGUAGGGCCUUAGGAGAGAAGAACCCUAUAAUCCAUUAGUUUGAAAUAGGAUGAAUACCUAUGAAGUUGAAAGACCAUUUUUCUUUCUUGUUUGAGAUAGGCUUUUACUAUGUAGUCCUGGCUAGCCUAGAGCUCCAUACGUAGACCACAGAGAUCCACCUGUGUCUGCCCUGGGUGCUGGGAUUAUAGGCCUAUACUACCACACCCAACCCUUGAGAGUCUUUCAAUGAAGAGGAUCCUGAAUUUAAGGAUGCGAGAAGUGGAGACUCCAGGGCUACCGGUUAUGGAUCUUGAGGCAAGAAUGGCUGUGGAUGGGGAGUGCCUGGGAGGAACACACCGAAACUGCAGGAGGAUCUUGGAGUCAGCACCUGUGCCCAGACGCAUGGAUGACAGAGCAGAAACUGAGGUCACGUGGGAGAGACACAGGCACAUGAACCAGGAAUCAGUGCCUGCAGUCACCUGGCAGAGACAUGUGAGAACAGCAGCAAGCAUCUCAGGCAGGCUUCCAGAGUGCGUCUUUCUCCCACCAAGACAAGCCUCCCCAUAAAUGAGCUCUCUGUAAACACCCAGUCACCCAAUGUAAUCUCCAUACCCUUGACCUUAUGGAGCUCCUCCAGUAGGUAGCCAGCCUCCUCCUGGAUCCGCUCCUCAAUGCUCCGCUUCCCCAUCCCAAAGUUUCGAAGGACAGUCAGGGAAAAACGCCGAAGAAUCUUCCAUCGUUCUCCAUUGGACAGAGCUAAACCUGCCAGGAGAUCCUGUAAUUUCAGAAUCCUGUGUUUCCUAAAGUUUGUUUCUGAAUCUGCGUUUAGAAGUGAUGAGUUUCUGUGUGACCUCAGCUGUGCCAUCUGUGACCUUCAUCACUAUAAGAAGAAAUGGUGACCUCAGCUGUGCCAUCUGUGACCUUCAUCACUAUAAGAAGAAAUGGGCACACUAACCUUCUGGAAGGACUGAAAUGUGGCAUCAAUGCGGACUUGUAAGAAGUUUCCCAAAAAUGGUAUUGGUGUGGGGCCGGGGGGCAGCUUUCCUCCCUUACUGGUCCGCUUCCAAGCAAUCAGGAUGAGCAGGCAAGACAAGCAAAGUGCCAUAAAGAUGCUGAAGGCUCCUCCCAGCAUCAUUGUGCUAAGUUGAGGGCUUGUGCCUUGGGAUCCAGAGCUCGCCUAAAUAGCUUCUAGGAGAUCAGCUUAUAUUGAAAUGUGAAUCCUGUGGGAGUCAAAUUAUCCCACCAGUAUUAUGCCAUCAAUAAACAAAUUGCUUGGUA